CCACACAUGGGCUUUGGUUUAGAGGGAUGAUGUGAGCCAGCGCUUUGGCUGCGAUGAAACUACCCGCCUGCCUGUGGAAGGUCUGGGCUAAGUGUUCGGGGGCAGGCUCUGCCUUGCCCUGCUCUCAUUCAAACACUCUCCGGGGCUCCCUGGGGGUCGCUGGCGUCAGACCAAUUUCACUCUAUGCUGAGGAAAGGGAGCUGGGCAGCAGGGAGCCUGGAGCGAUGCUGCACUUAGCUAUGGCCUCAAACCUUCACUGACCCACGCAUCUCCCCCUCCUCCCUGCCACUGGAAGGAAACCAUGGCAUCAGAACACAUUGGGACUGGCAGCUGCCUCCAGCACAAGGACUCAGAGUCGCAUCAUUGGAUUCCUGGACCCACUUGUGCCUGCUAUCAGCUUCCU
rnacentral:lncRNA from 1 species